UACGUAGGGUGCGAGCGUUGUCCGGAAUUAUUGGGCGUAAAGAGCUCGUAGGCGGCCUGUCGCGUCGGAUGUGAAAAGCCCCGGGGCUUAACCCCGGGUCUGCAUUCGAUACGGGCAGACUAGAGUGUGGUAGGGGAGAUCGGAAUUCCUGGUGUAGCGGUGAAAUGCGCAGAUAUCAGGAGGAACACCGGUGGCGAAGGCGGAUCUCUGGGCCAUUACUGACGCUGAGGAGCGAAAGCGUGGGGAGCGAACAGG
rnacentral:rRNA from 1 species